rnacentral:rRNA from 1 species
CUACGGAGGGUCCAAGCGUUAUCCGGAAUCAUUGGGUUUAAAGGGUCCGUAGGCGGGCAAUUAAGUCAGAGGUGAAAUCCCACAGCCCAACUGUGGAACUGCCUUUGAUACUGGUUGUCUUGAAUUAUAGUGAAGUAGAUAGAAUACGUAGUGUAGCGGUGAAAUGCUUAGAUAUUACAUAGAAUACCGAUUGCGAAGGCAGUCUACUAACUGUAUAUUGACGCUGAUGGACGAAAGCGUGGGGAGCGAACAGGAUUAGAAACCCUAGUAGUCC